CCCUGACAGGGAAGGGUGGACAGAACAGAGCGACUGAACAUGAUGACUAUCCUCUCUGUAGCUGUGCUCUACCUCUCAUUAUAGGGCUGCAACAUUGUCACAUUCGAUACAAAAAAAAUCCAAAGAAUGUUCACCCAUGGAAAGCUUUGGGACUACUGAGAAGUUAAAACCAGUUGAGUACCGAUGAAACCAGGGGCUGGCUGCACAAAGACAGACUUCAACCAUGGCUGCAAAGUUUCUAUAGACCUCCACUAUCUGCAGCCGACACUCGCGGCUCUUGGCUCGGGACAGAGCAGAAAUGGCUUCCUUUCCGCUGAUCUCA